UUUAAGUAGCUUAUAUAGAGUAUAAUAUUGAAGUUAUUAGGGAAAUUUAAUUAUUCUUAAAUAU
rnacentral:tRNA from 1 species